GUUUCCACAUCAACAAAAGCAAAGCUGCUCAGGAGGAACCACUGCUGUUCUCCAUAACCACAGCACUGUCUCUGUAAAGUGCUGGUGUUCAAUCUCCAUGAACAGUUUUGUCAGUGGACUUGAAAGAGACUGCAAAGUAAGAGAAAGCAGCAGAGCUGGGAACAGCAAACAGACGCCCUGAGUCAGCCCAAGGAACUCCAGACAGACACACCAAUAUCAGCACACUGAAACAGUUCAGUCCUUGAGAGUUCCUCCAGAUUCCUCUGGCGUUCCUGCUGCCUGAGAUGUUCUGCUGUGUUGGAAGACCCCCUCCAUCCUCUCCCUGCUCAAGAAGAGGACGCAACUGGGCCCUGGAAGACCAGCUGGGUGGAGAGUGAAGGCAGGAUUGGCUCUGGGAGUGGACUCCUGAUGAUGAUACGGUUGAGAGUAAAUGUGGAUGAACAUCACUCCCCUCCUGCUGAUGGAGCAACACGGUUUCCUUGCCUCUCUCUGCCUGCCCUUCAACACCAAAUGGGUGAGUUUUCCUCUUUUCCUCUUUUUUUUUUUUUUUUUUCCCAAUCCUUUUACCCAUACUCCUUUCCAAC
rnacentral:lncRNA from 1 species